UACUCAAGGCACUUCAUUUACUCGAAGCCCUUUUUUGAGAUAGGUUAUGGAAAUAUUUAAGAUUUUAAUUUUUAUUGUUUUCACCUUUCUGGGAGUGAAGAGCGAGGGUCCAACUAUGCCUUCUUUCAUUGUGUGCGCCUUAGGGAAAGUUUGUAAUUCUAACGGAAGCAAAUGGAUGCUAAAUGAGCAAACAUGGGCAUAAAAAAAAAUAAAGAAUGGGAUAAAAAUAAUAAAAUGUUGACCAUUAAGUGAAUUAAAAUAUACAUAUAAUUUUGAAAAAUGUUUCUAGCAUUCUAGAAAGAGAUUUUGGCGUUUUUAAACAUAAGGGAUCUAAUGGAAAAAAAAACAUUGAGAAGUGAAUAAAACACUGGUUGUGUAAAAUGUAUCAAAUUGAUUCAAGAAAUAUUUCUGGUAAAUAAUAUAUUUCAGUCUCGGUGUUAGAAGUUCUCCAUCCAACUCAAAUUCAUUUACUCGAUACCCUUAUUUGAGAUGCGUUAUCUGCAUUGGUGUCAAGAGUAAGA